rnacentral:lncRNA from 1 species
CUCAACAAGGCUCUGAAAACUGCCCUCGCUGCGCCCCAGCGGCCGGGAGGGGGCGCCCGAACUCGCCAUAACGCACUAACGACAGCGCCCACCCCGCGCGACCCGCCUCCAGUGACGCGAACUGGAGCGCCUGAUCAACCCGGAGAUCCCGGGAGCCCGGGCGAGGCGCCGCCGGGGCUUAGGGAGCGCGUGGGGCCGUGGGAACCGAUCAAAGUUUUCAUCAAGUUCUUCUGUAUGUAUUGAGACUGAAAAGUGACCGAAACUUUUCAUUAUAAAAGCUUCAGUAUCUCAGGUAAACACAUCACACCACUUUUUACCAAUAUUAUGUGAAAAGUGUCCAAUUAUUUAACAAGGACAUUUAGAUUUCUUUGCUGAGUAAUAUAUAGAAUGCAUGAAAUUUGUCACAAUUUAACUUUGUGCCACAAGCCCCUCCCAGCACCCCCUCCCCCCUACUUGUACACCUCUUAGACUUUUUAAGUUGUGGGGCCAGAUCUUGUCUUUAUUUAUAAUUUUUAUAUAUUGUUCAUCAAGACUUUUAUUAUUAAUUUUAAUUUUUUUAAAUAUUGCACGAAUGUAUAUUUUUUCCACAUUACAAAGUCACUUGUCACCUCCUCUCUGUAUUUGAGGCAACUUUCUAACUUGCCUAAACCUAAUCCCAACACUGGGAGGAAUUUUUGACGUGAAGUGUUGUGAAAAUUAUGUCUGAAAAUCUGGAAACAUCCCCUUCUCCCAUCCCUUACUGUAUUUUUUCCUUACAAGUUAUCUUUGUCUUUAUAAUAUUGUUUUACCUAUACUGUCACCAGAGGUAGUCUGAAGUUAAGUGAAAUGAACAUUGGAAUUAUUUGUAUCAUUUAUUUAUAUAUUUCAUAGAGUAGUUUUGAUCUGCCAAACAACUUGCUAAGAUUUAGGGG